rnacentral:rRNA from 1 species
AGCGGGGCCCAUCCCGUAAGGCUAAAUACUCCCGAGAGACCGAUAGCGAACCAGUACUGUGAAGGAAAGGUGAAAAGAACCUCGAACAGAGGAGUGAAACAGACCCUGAAACCAUGCGCCUACAAGCGGUCGGAGCAUGUUAAAGUGUGACGGCGUGCCUUUUGCAUAAUGAACCUACGAGUUACUCUCGCUGGCAAGGUUAAGCGAUUCAGUCGCGCAGCCGAAGCGAAAGCAAGUCCGAAUAAGGCGUACAGUCAGCGGGAGUAGACGCGAAACCAAGUGAUCUACCCUUGGUCAGGUUGAAGGUUGGGUAACACCAACUGGAGGACCGCACCGAUAAGCGUUGAAAAGCUUACGGAUGAACUGAGGGUAGGAGUGAAAGGCCAAUCAAACUUGGAGAUAGCUCGUACUCCCCGAAAUGCAUUUAGGUGCAGCCUCGAAGUAAAGUGAUAGAGGUAGAGCGACUGAUAAGAUGCGAGGGCUUCACCGCCUAUCAAGUCUUGACAAACUCCGAAUACUAUCACUUGAUCUUCGGGAGUGAGGGCAUGGGUGCUAAGGUCCAUGUCCGAAAGAGGAACAACUCAGACCACCGGCUAAGGUCCCGAAAUAAGGGCUAAGUUGAAUAAACGAAGUAAAACUGCAAAGACAGCUAGGAUGUUGGCUUGGAAGCAGCCAUUCAUUUAAAGAGUGCGUAACAGCUCACUAGUCGAGGAGUUUUGCAUGGAUAAUAAUCGGGCAUAAGCCCUUUACCGAAGCUGUGGAUGUCGUAAGACAUGGUAGGGGAGCAUUCCGGCGGCGACGAAGGCCGUCCUCGAGGACGACUGGAGCUUUCGGAAAAGCAAAUGUAGGUAUAAGUAACGAUAAAGGGGGCGCGAAACCCCCUCGCCAUAAGACUAAGGAUUCCUGAUCAACGCUAAUCGGAUCAGGGUAAGUCGGGCCCUAAGGCGCAGCCGAACGGCGUAGCCGAUGGAAGAAACGGUAAAGAUUCCGUUACUGGAUAUAGGAGCGAUGUGGAGACGGAGAAGUGACACACCCGCCUGCCGACGGAAGCGCAGGUUAAAGGAAGUAGGUAAACGCCGGGUAGGCAAAUCCGCCUGGCGUGCCGAAGCUGACAGUAUCGAGAGCCCCCGGGCAAUCGAAUAGCGGUGGUAACCAGGCUCCCAAGAAAAUCCGCUAAGCAUAUUCUAUAUCCACCCGUACCCCAAACGGACACACGUAGUCGGGUAGAAUAUACCAAGGCGCUCGAAAGACUCACGGUUAAGGAACUAGGCAAAUUGACCCUGUAACCUCGGGAAAAAGGGUCCCCAGUAAGAUGGGGCGCAGAGAAUAGGUCCAGGCAACUGUUUAACAAAAACACAGGGCUGUGCAAAAUUUGAAGAUGAAGUAUACAGCCUGACACCUGCCCGGUGCCGGAAGGUUAAGAGGAGAGCUAAUCGCAAGAGAAGGCUUGAAUUGAAGCCCCGGUAAACGGCGGCCGUAACUAUAACGGUCCUAAGGUAGCGAAAUUCCUUGUCGGGUAAGUUC